CGACCUCGAGAGCGCGGGUCCGGGAGUUGGCGAUGCUCGCCGAGGCCGUGGGAAGAGAUUCCGGGCAGCGGAGCAUUUGCAAAACAUGCUCUGUGGUGAGCACACCCGAAGCCUAUAUGUGGGGAGUAGAUGGCUGGAAAAGCUUACUGACUUGGCACUUGAUGAAGAUUCCUUAUAGAUUUCCCAGAUCGACUGACUAAUUGGAAUAGGUCUGAGAGCUGGGCUUCCGGGGCAAGUUUUACUGAGAAAUACAAUACACAAUGAUAAUAGGAAUUCAGAGGCAAACAGUGCCAGAAGAAAUGUUUGUAAUGGCUUCAACAUAGCCCUGGAGUCAACCAGACACCGAAGCAUAGUGAUGUGGGGCCCACCGGACUGAGGAUGGAAGUCUAGCUCUGUUCUUCAGCUCUCCCCAUUCUAUGAUGUGGAUAAUCAGAGUACCUAUCUGCUACGCCGACCCCUCCCUGCAGAAACGACAAUGAACAAAGGGUUCCCCUGUGCUUGGAUUGUCUUCCACCAGGGUGGAAAGGAAGAUCGUGGUUUCAUCCCAUGUCUAAUUCUGGAAAUCUGAGGAAAGAGGUUCCAAAUAUUAGUAAGCAGAAGAUUUCUACCUCCCCCAGUGCUCCGAUGACUUGCCCCCAAAGGAUCUCACUGUUAAAUAAUAGUGAGCCCAUUCCCAUGCCUGUUACAGAGGGAGGCUCAACACACAUCCAUGAAGUUCCCAUUGGCCUUAUGGAAUUGGAGAAUAAGAGAAGUUAGAAGCAUCAUGGAGUGUGACUCCCUUUUCCCUGACCCUGCAGGUGAGAAGGCUUCCCCAGACUUCACCCCUCCAGAGACUGGUAGCUGGGCUCCACAGCGAAUAGUGCUCUGAGGCCAAGGUGCAAGCCCCAACUUCUGAUUUCAGAUGUGUCCAAUGGGAGGAAGGGUCCGAAGGGGUCUGGAUACAGUGCCGUCAGUGCUUCUCAGGUAAAAGUCCCGUAGAGGUUCAAAGGUGCUCCCAAGAGCUAGUGUCUUCUCUUACCCAGCAGUGUCCUGGGAUCCAGGCCCUUAAUUGUGUGGGUGAUGAGCUGCAGCGGUGCCUCUGCCUUGGUUACUUUCUGGGUGUCGUGAGGCCUAGAAGGAAGCAGACCAUAAUAUCCCAGGACAAGAUGGGUAUGUCCCGUUCAUACUUGGGUGGGGGGCCCGUUUUCCCUUGUCACUGAGAUUUCCUCAGCUGUGGCUGAAGGAGGUGCCUUGUCUUUCUAAAGAGCAGCAGGAUUCUCAAUCCAGGGCAGGGUCUGAAGGAAGCUGACUAAACUGAACAUUUAGAUAAGGAAUGUGGGCUUUGGGGAGCUGAAGUGAACGAAGUCUCAGGAUAACCUCUCACUGUUUCUGGACAGUUGUGAAAAUGAAACAUCAGGAGGAGGUCAAAAACCUCCUGUCUGAACUUGGGAAUGUGACAAUGUCUCUCUUCCCAGAGUGGAACCUGCUCAUAGCUCAGGUGUUUGAGACCCUGGAAUACAGAACAAAAGGCAGACCAUGCUUGUCUCUGUGACACAGAUCUUCCCUCAGCUCAGAACCAUCACACCUUGGACAUGAACUUCCAGCUACUUCAGGGACCUCACCCUAUAAGUCACCAAACCCCAAGUAUCCCAGUGCCACGCAGAACCCAGAACGCAAUCCAGGAAAGCACAACUCACAGACCUCAAAUCUUUGGACACACAAUACCUCACACUUGACUGAACCUAGAUUGCUCAGCUCAAUGAAUGAGGCCAGGGACUCAGAAGAGCCCUGAGAUGUCCAGUUCUGAAAUAUAGACUCAACUGCAUGCCAACAACUUCAUAACUCACGACUUAAAAACCCAAAUAGCUCCCAGACCUCCCACCCUGGACGUACAAAUCCACAAAAGCUUGGAUCCCUACCCUGGUAUGCAGGCACAUGCACAUCUGAGAGGACUGGUACUGAAAACACAGAGACCUCAUGCAUGAGGGUAUGUGUAACCAACAUCUCAGAGAAGUCAGAGCCUGGUGCACAAAGCCCAAAGUUUGCAAACCAGGAAAUGGUCAACCCCUCAAAAUUGCAGCAACCUCAGUCCCUGGGAUACAGACUUAUGAUUGGGUCACAGAGGUCACAUUCAGGAUCCAGAAUCAAAAAAGAUCAGACACCCUUGUUUUGGAUAACAUCUAUGAUCUCAUGAGCAUAGGGUGAGGAAUGUCGGGUUGCAUCACAUUUUGCACAUCGCUACUCUGCAGAGCUCAAACCCUAAUUCUGGACAUGCAGAACAAAAACUGCAGAGAAUGUAUAUGGUAGACACAGCACCUAAAACAGAUCACACACCUCACACACCAGCACACACAUUUAUAAAAAACCCUGAGAUCCUUCACUCUGGACACAAGCCCCUCAGGGCUCAACAGAUCUCACAUCCUGCACAGACAUCCUGAAACGACUCAGACAACUGACAACCUAUAAUGGGCCAGGGACCUCCCAGUCUGGACGCGGACCUUGAAACAACUCAGAGAUGUGUUAGAUGGCCUUAGAAACCUACAAGUUCACCCCUUCUAGGAUCCAUGCCAGAUAGGGCCACAGCCAGGUUUCUCCCAGUCUCCUGAGUGAGACACAGGGGUGGAAUGAAAGAGAAAGGAGGGCCAGGCAUGGUGGUGCAUGCCUGUAAUCCCAGCAGUUUGGGAGGCAGAGACAGGCGUUUUGUGAGUCCAAAGCCAGCCUCAGCAAUUUUCAAGACACUAUGCAACUCAGUUCAGCCCUCACUGUAAAUAAAAUACAAAAAUUGGGCUGAGGCUGUGGAUUAGUGGUUGAGUGCCCCUGAGUUGAAUCCCUACUACCGAGAGAGAAAUAGAGAAGAAUGAGAAUGAACCCCUACAUCUGGGCCCUGGUCCAAGCACCUGAGUAUCCUUUUCCAGGGAAUGAAGACCCAGGUUCUGCCCUCAGAGGCUGCUUCUGGGCAGUGAUUCACAUAUACCGAGGCCUGAUGCACCCUGGAGUCCUGUGCCUGCCAGAUUGGGGAUAUGUUCUAGGUUAAGAUGUCUUGUGCCAUCCUGGAAAUGAACCCUCAUUGCCCUCAGGCUUGAGAUGCCCUUAUGCCACAGAAUCACUCUUUGGGUAAGGAGAGGCUGAGUGUGUCCCUGUGAACCAACCACAAUGGUCUUCUAGUGGUCAUAGCAGAGCUGAAGCUUCAGGGAACCCGCCUCCAGCUCAACAAUGGACCUCCUGCCCAGCAUCCUGUUCACUCUGAAUGGUGCCCUUCUGACUCUUGAGCAUGUGGAUCCAGGAGCCCCCUGAUUUCCUCUGCCCUCCUCAACCCUGAACAGAUGGCCCUCUGCAGAUCUUUUGAGCAUGAAUGACUCAAGAUUAAAAGGGGAGAUGGUGAAAGUGUUUGCCGCAGAGUGCCAGGGCUAUAUGACACAGACCGUACAACCCCGCCCCCUCAUCAACCCCUCACUCCCAGUCCUUUCUGUCCUCCUCUGAGUAUGCUUGUCCCCUCCUCCCAAUUCAUAAAUCAGGUAUAAAGGGAAUGGGGUGUGAGGGUCUCUGUACUUACACAUAGCUUGGUGUAAGUUGACAGAGCAGAUAUAUUCCCGCACAUAGACCAUGAGAGCAACCCUGGUGUAGGACUGUUUGUUCAUGGGCAGUCACAGCUGGGAGGCUGUGCUGUUUUGGGACUGAGGCUGAUGUGGCCUUGCUAGUGGGCCUCAUCUUCUUUGGAGACACACACUGGCUCAUAUCUGAUCCCCUGGUGGAUCUCCACUCCCUGAGGACUCAGUCUCAUACCUGCAGUGUUUCUGGAGAUGUUUGAACAAAGUCAGGGCUUAAUUGAUGCCUGGUGAUAAAUUUGUUCCCUUAAGAAUCCACCUAAGCCCUAAUUACCAAGAUGCUCUCAACAUCUCUGCUGCCUAAUGCCUAAAAACACAUCAUUUAAGCAUUUACUUCUUUUUAUGGAUCAGGUUGCCGUCUCCCUGGAGGAAUCAGGACUGGUUCUGGAGGAACCCAAUCCUCUUUGAACUGCACCCAUGGGUAUUCUGGGGAACAUAUUUCUGACUGUGAAUGGUUUUCUUGGUGUGUCUGUAAACUGAUAUUGGGCUUUCAGAUCAAUAUAAUGGGAUCCAAUCAGCAUUUAUCAAUGAGCCAGUGAUCUUACUGACCUGGUAAUACCUUAAGCCUUUUGUACAGGUGAGUCGACUGAGGUUCCAGGGCAGGAUCCUGAACUCUCCCAAUCCACCUCCACUUUGCUAUUUGAAGCCCCACCUUUGGGGCUGUAUGUUUCCAAACUAGGACAAUACCCCUGACACCCAGACCAUGCAUGUUCUCUAACCUGGAAGGUCCUGAAUGGGCAAUCACAUUAACCACAUAGAUUUUAGUGUCAUCCUUAAUUUCUGCCCUACUGCUCCACCCUGGGACCAUUCACUUAUCUCUUCGCCCUUAUUCCUGGCUGCACUAGGGCUAGAUCUGUAGAGCCAAGUAGCUGGGCCCAUAAAUGGAAUGAUGGUGACCUGAGAGGCUGCAGAGGCCUCACCCUGACUGGAUGUGUGGAGGUUCCUGCUUGGUGGGGAGCCCAAUACACAUGACACAGAAUGGUUUAUUUUAAAAUACAAGGCUCCCUUCCCCAGUGGUGUUUCCCAAAGUGUACUGCUUCAUCUGGGCCACUAAAGUGGUACAUUUCAGUGCAGGGAGGUUUCACCCACCCUCUUCAUCCAGCCUGUUCCUUCUCAGUGUCCCCAGUAUCUGUGAUUCUCCCAGAAGGGGCAGUUUCAACCUAUUUCUUUUAAAAAUUGUUUUUAUUGAUGCAUUAUCAUUAUACAUAAUAGUGGGGUUUCUUUGACCUAGUCAUACGUGCGUGGAAUAUAAGUUGCUCCAUUUCAGUCCCUGGUACUAAUUUUAGGCUGUUUCUAAUGAGUCUUUUCAUCUCUAUCCCUCACCCCACCCCCGACAGUACAUCCAAUGGGUGUUGCCUUUGUGACCCUGACACUGCUCAGUGGACGAUUCCAUUCCCAUCUCACUUCUCCUAAUAUUGUCUAAUGGGCCACACCAGUUGCAUAUUCCUGUUCUUGUAGAGUGCCUAGUGUAGAGUCCAGCCUCCUAGCUGGAGCCCCUGCCCCGGGAGUGGUACUUAGGAUGUCAAGAAUGGGACAUUCCUUCCCCUCCCCACUGACAGAACUGUGAAUCAACAAGACAACUGCAGGUCUCUGUGUCUGCAUCGAUCAUUAAAUUCUACCACCUCCCCCUCAGUAGAGGGAGACUGUUGUUCACUAUAUUCUUUGCUUUCUCCCCGGCACCUAGAACAGUGUCAGGCACAGAAUAGGCCCUCCAUUGAUGUUGGUAAGGAAAGCAUCCUUUGACCUGGCAAUUCCAUGGCCAACGGUAUGUCCUGGGAAUGCAUAGUUUGUCCUGAUCACAGUGCCUUUCUCCAUGGCAUGGUAUUAAUGGAGAGUAGCAAGAAGGAGAUGCUCAUACCUACCCAGUGAGUGUGUUUUCAUGCACGUGCAAAUGUGUGUGUGUUUGUUAACGUGUAUAUGUGCACACUUGGGGGCAUGUGUGUGUGCAUGCAUGUAUGUACACAGAUCUCACAUGCAUGGACUAGAAAACUUACAAUUAGUGUCAAUUAUACUCCCCAAGGAGAUCUUAUGACUCGUUGCAAUCCCUAUCAAAAUUCUAAUUACUUAUCUCCCUAAAUUAACAAAAUGGUGCUAUAAUUCUAAUGAAAUGAAAGUCUCCUGCAAAGAGAAUGUAGAGAAAAAGGAACACUUUUACACUGUUGGUGGGAUUGUAAAUUAGUGCAACUACUAUGGAAAUCACAGUGGUGGGCCCUGAAAAGACUAGGCAUGGAAAUCCCGUAUGACCCAAGUAUAUCCCUCCUUGGUAUUUUUCCUGAAUUAAAAUCAUACUACAGUGGUAUGUGCAUACCCAUGUUUAUAGCAGCACAACUCACAAUAACCAAACUAUUGAACUAGCCUAGUUGUCCAAUGGUUGAAUGGGUAAAGAAAAUGUGGUAUGUGUACUCAAUGGAGUUAAUUAUUAAGCCAUAAAGAAAAGUGAAAGUAUGUCAUUUGCAGGAAAAUGGAUGGAACUAGAGACAUUAUGUUUAGCAAAGUAAGUCAAACUCCAACCAUAAAAAGAGCUAUGUUUUCUCUUAUAUGCGGAAGCUAGAGAGGAAAAAGGAAAAGAAAGGUGGAAAUGAAAGUUUGGUCUGUACAGGAAAGGCACCAAGGAGUGGGAGGUGGGGAUGGAAGGAGGGAGUGCUUGGGGAGUGAUAUUGGCCAAAGUAUAUUGUUGUGUGCAUGUACAAGUAUGUACCAUCAAAUACCACCGUUAUGUACAAUUCUAAAGCCCUAAUAAAAAUGUAGGGGAAAAAGGCUUCCACAA